GAUGAACGCUGGCGGCGUGCCUAAUACAUGCAAGUCGAGCGAACAGACGAGGAGCUUGCUCCUCUGACGUUAGCGGCGGACGGGUGAGUAACACGUGGAUAACCUACCUAUAAGACUGGGAUAACUUCGGGAAACCGGAGCUAAUACCGGAUAAUAUAUUGAACCGCAUGGUUCCAUAGUGAAAGACGGUUUUGCUGUCACUUAUAGAUGGCUCCGCGCCGCAUUAGCUAGUUGGUAAGGUAACGGCUUACCAAGGCAACGAUGCGUAGCCGACCUGAGAGGGAGGACGGCCACACUGUAUGUGAGGCACGGUCCAGACUCCUGCGGGAGGCAGCAGUAGGGAAUCCUCCGCAAUGGGGGAGAGCGUAACGGAGCAACGUCGCGUGAGUGAUGAAGGUCUUCUGAUCGUAAAACUCUGUUAUUAGGGAAGAACAAAUGUGUAAGUAACUAUGAACGUCUUGACGGUACCGAAUCAGAAAGCCACGGCUAACUACGUG
rnacentral:rRNA from 1 species